CUACGGGAGGCUGCAGUGGGGAAUAUUGCACAAUGGAGGAAACUCUGAUGCAGCAACGCCGCGUGGAGGAUGACACUUUUCGGAGCGUAAACUCCUUUUAUAUAGGAAGAAGAUGACGGUACUAUAUGAAUAAGCGCCGGCUAACUCCGUGCCAGCAGCCGCGGUAAUACGGAGGGCGCAAGCGUUACUCGGAAUCACUGGGCGUAAGGAGCGUGUAGGCGGAUUAAAAAGUCAGAAGUGAAAUCCUAUAGCUUAACUAUAGAACUGCUUCUGAAACUCUUAAUCUAGAAUAUGGGAGAGGUAGAUGGAAUUUCUGGUGUAGGGGUAAAAUCCGUAGAGAUCAGAAGGAAUACCGAUUGCGAAGGCGAUCUACUAGAACAUUAUUGACGCUGAGACGCGGAAGCGUGGGGAGCAAACAGGAUUAGAUACCCGCGUAGUC
rnacentral:rRNA from 1 species